GCGGGUAUGGUGUAGUGGUAACACACGACCCUUCCAAGGUCUUGUCGCCGGUUCGAGUCCGGCUACCCGCU
rnacentral:tRNA from 1 species